rnacentral:lncRNA from 1 species
CAUUUGCUUCCCAGGCUGCAAUGUGGACGACAAUAAGUAUGACAUUUUGUGGGUCUCUUAGCAUUAUUUCAUUACUUUCACCGAAGGGAAGCAAACCAAAAAUCUACUAUAUGUUUGUGUUGUUGGGAUGUAUUUCGUAGGGAAGGCUAUAUUUUAGGUAGUUUUGUUACUAUAUCAUGUUCACAUAUCACAUGAGAACUAGACUAUGCUUUUAAUGACGUUACUAGAGGUAUCUCUAUUGCUUGGUGCAUUUCGUUUUCACCCUAGAAAAAGAGUAGGGUUUGGGUGUCUCUCUCAGUUAGUUGAAACGUAAGAGUGUACUGGGAGAAGGAGAAUGGUAAAGUGUCAAGCCGAGAGGAAGGAAGGGGAAUCCGUAGAGGAACACGUCAGCGGAAGGAGAAAACGAAAAAAAAAAAGGUCCUACAAUUAUGAAAAUCAUAAAUAUAGAAAGAGAAAAAGCUUGACGUUGCAGAAAGAACAAAUGAGAGAGAAGAAAAAGAUCAGAUUUUAUAGCCACGUCAGUGCAAAGUUAACUCUGUGUAUGUCAAUUUAACGGAAUGGACUUAAUUCAUACAAUUUUUACAACUUUAGGACCCAAUCUAUACACUAUUA